CGCUGAAGCCUGGUGCUUGCACCGGGUGGAUGAGUGGCGAACGGGUGAGUAACACGUGAGUAACCUGCCCCUGACUUCGGGAUAAGCCCGGGAAACUGGGUCUAAUACCGGAUACGACUGCCGGACGCAUGUCUGGUGGUGGAAAGUUUUUUCGGUUGGGGAUGGGCUCGCGGCCUAUCAGUUUGUUGGUGAGGUAAUGGCUCACCAAGACGACGACGGGUAGCCGGCCUGAGAGGGCGACCGGCCACACUGGGACUGAGACACGGCCCAGACUCCUACGGGAGGCAGCAGUGGGGAAUAUUGCACAAUGGGGGAAACCCUGAUGCAGCGACGCAGCGUGCGGGAUGACGGCCUUCGGGUUGUAAACCGCUUUCAGCAGGGAAGAAGCGCAAGUGACGGUACCUGCAGAAGAAGUACCGGCUAACUACGUGCCAGCAGCCGCGGUAAUACGUAGGGUACGAGCGUUGUCCGGAAUUAUUGGGCGUAAAGAGCUCGUAGGUGGUUGGUCACGUCUGCUGUGGAAACGCAACGCUUAACGUUGCGCGUGCAGUGGGUACGGGCUGACUAGAGUGCAGUAGGGGAGUCUGGAAUUCCUGGUGUAGCGGUGAAAUGCGCAGAUAUCAGGAGGAACACCGGUGGCGAAGGCGGGACUCUGGGCUGUAACUGACACUGAGGAGCGAAAGCAUGGGGAGCGAACAGGAUUAGAUACCCUGGUAGUCCAUGCCGUAAACGUUGGGCACUAGGUGUGGGGGGGCAUUCCACGUUCUCCGCGCCGUAGCUAACGCAUUAAGUGCCCCGCCUGGGGAGUACGGUCGCAAGGCUAAAACUCAAAGGAAUUGACGGGGGCCCGCACAAGCGGCGGAGCAUGCGGAUUAAUUCGAUGCAACGCGAAGAACCUUACCAAGGCUUGACAUACACCGGACCGUCCUGGAAACAGGUCCUCUUCUUUGAAGCUGGUGUACAGGUGGGUGCAUGGUUGUCGUCAGCUCGUGUCGUGAGAUGUUUGGGUUAAGUCCCGCAACGAGCGCAACCCUCGUUCUAUGUUGCCAGCAUGUGGAUGGUGGGAACUCAUAGGAGACUGCCGGGGUCAACUUCGAGGAAAGGUGGGGGAUGACGUCAAAUCAUCAUGC
rnacentral:rRNA from 1 species